rnacentral:misc_RNA from 1 species
UCAGGACCAACGCUGGCGGCGUGCCUAAUACAUGCAAGUCGAGCGGACAUGGAGCUUGCUCCCUGAUGUUAGCGGCGGAGCUUUUGACCCGGCAUUUGGCCCACCUUCUCAUGUGCAUGCGGAUACCGGUCAUACUGUCGUAUUUUACAACGCUUGGCGAUGAUAAUCCUGAUUCCCCUUAUACCGGACUCCCCCUCUGGUUCGAGAUCAUACCACGAUUAUCGAUCAAAAUCCUCUGUAAAGCAUUGAGCAACUCGGUCUGUACAAUAAAUCUUAAAAAGCAGAAUUCGUAUUAAUGCAACCUAAUCUGUGAUAUCACAGUAUGGGCAUGCAAUCCCAUUAAUAUUUCAAGGUCAACAAAAUGCCCUCCCAUUUCAAAUUACCCAUGGGAAAAAUGCGGGUAUCCGUAAACGUUCCCCCAGAACAAAAACCCCUUGUGAAAAAAUA